UUCAAUCCAUCUCCGGUGCAACUCCGACCACUGGGUAAAUAGAAAGGCUACAUUUCACACCAUUUUCCCCAAAUUUUGUGUCGAUCCUGCAACUGAAAACCCAUCCAUAUCGAGCCAAAAUUCAGGGAAUUGACCGGCGGACUCCGAGCUAUUUGUAAACAAGAGGUCGAUCGUGUUUUGUAUAUCGACACCACUUUCAUCAACAAGUCCAAAAUUUGCACUAACCCCAAAUGGCAGACAAGGGCAUUGAAGUUAAACAGCCAAACUCUGCUAUUGGUAAAUGUGCUGGGGUUCAACUCAUUAAGAAUGACAAGAAGAUUGCUGCUCUUGUCCCCCAUGAUGGUUGUUUAAAUGUGCUUUAGUUUGUUGGUGAAAUUAGUUCAUCUAGAAAUGUUAAUACUUCUUAAGCAUGAUGGACGCUUGAUAUGUAAUUUGCUGGAUUUUAUUUCUUUUUCGAGUCUCUCUCUCUCUCUCUCUCACAGUUGGAACAUUGCAUGCAUUUUUUUUUUAUUGAUAAUCAAGUAAUAUGUUUUGUCCAAAGUAACUGAAAUACUGUGUAACUUGGGCAUCGCUUUUCGGCCAUGUGAUAGUCCUUUCUAAAUGUGGACAAGGCACAAUACUGGCUUAAUGACUCAGCUUGGUCGAGCUCACCUGUGCUAGUCGUGGAGGAUCGGUACUUCUCCAAGGCCGCAGGCCCGCAGCUGCUAUUUUGUCCCAUGAUAGAAGGCUAAUAUAAGUUUGUUGUCACAAAAAAGUUUGUUGAUUCAAUUUGUAUAUUUGCUUAUCAAAUUGUGUCCACACUUUUGAUAUGUUAGUUGGCUAACAUUUAUUUUUGAUAAAAACAGCUCUUUCUAGUACACAGUAUCUUGGAUAAAACAAUGUUACAACUAUUCAACUUCGUUCAAACGUACACGUAUUUGCAUUUUAUUGCUUGACUAUUCAAAUGUACACACUUUGCCAUAUUAUUUAUUUAUGUGGAAAUUACACUGGAUGUCAUUUUUUGGGUUUGAAUUUACAAAAAAGUCACAUUUUAAUAGUUUUGACCAAACUAUCACUUUAUGACUUUUAUGGCCCUCAAAAAAAAUUGAAAUACCUUGGAUGUCCUUAAUUAAAAUUGAUUUGAUUAGAUGAAAGAAUAGUACAAAAAGUUAAUUUGCAUCACAUCAAAAGCUCCCAUCUCACUACUUACAAGAAAAAA